UCAUCUUCCCCUACAAUCAACCUUAAAAAUAUCCAAAACACGUUAAAAAAAGAACAUUCCCAGACUCAAUACGACGUCGGUUGCAUCUCCCGUUUUACCAAACCAGACCUAAACUCACCCAAACGCUAGCCCGUUCCGUCGCACGCGAGGCUCCGACUAUUCUCCCUGCCGUUCAAUCAACAAGCCACCGUCUCGAAAUGGAUCCUCGUGCGCUAUGGCGGCACUACGUUACCGGCUUUACCAACACAAGAGAAUUGGACUGUAUCUCGAUGUGACUCGGGUCGGGUUUACCGAUGAGUUUGUUGAGGAAAUGGAGCCGCUGUUGCAGGAUGCAUUUAUAGCUAUGGAGAAGCUUGAGAAGGGAGCGAUUGCGAAUCCGGAUGAAGGUCGUAUGGUUGAACAUUAUUGACUUAGGGAUUCGAAUCGUGCUCCGAAUUCGUUUCUGAAGUCGCAGGGCGUUUUGUGGAUUUGCUGAUGAUGUCGUCCUAGUAAGGUUAGUUGGUGUAUCGUAUCCUUUACUGUUUUCGUUGACUCAACUGUGAUGUGAUUUGACUCACUAAAUGGCACAUUAUAGCUUAUGUAGCUCCGGCACAUCUGAAAAAAUUACAUCUUUGUAAAAAGACUUGUUGGUGUUGGUGUCAAACACUCAGAGAGAUACUUGUGAUUUCAUUUUAUUUUUAUUUAUUUUUUAAAAUCAUUAUCAGGGUUGCUAUCAGAAUUGCCGAGUCAAUGUCAGGUGUCCAUGUUUCUUAGAUCUCUAAUAAGAAGUUAAAGGAACUACCAUUUAAUUAAGGCUUUAAAGUUUCAUGAAUGUAUUUGCAAAUUUGCGAAAAUGAGGCGGAUAUGUUGAGAGAUGUUUAUAAUUUUGAGGACCAUUUGACUUAGUCAUUUUUUUUUUUUUGGGUUUUAUGAAUUGGAUUUGUUUGGUUUAAGUGUGUGUGUGUAUGGGUUUGUUGAUGUGGUUGUGGUAGAUUAAGCCGCCUUCUUCACCUGAGGGAAGGUUUACUCAGAUACUUUCUGUUGGGAUUGGAGGGUCUGAGGCACUUGCUCCGGAUAGUCCUCCACUCAAGAUACGAUUUAUUGACAACACAGAUCCUGCUGGCAUUGAUCAUCAGAUUGCACAACUUGGCCCUGAGCUAGCUUCGACACUGUAAUCGUGAUUUCAAAGAGUGGACGUACCCCUGAGACUAGAAAUGGCUUAUUAAAAGUACAGAAGGCCUUUUGUGAAGCGGGAUUGGAUUUCCCAAAACAGGGUGUUAUAACAUGAGAAAAUUAUUUGUUGGAUAAUACUGCCAGAAUUGAAGGAUGGUUAGCUAAAUUUCCCAUGUUUGACUGUGUGGGAGGUAGAACAUCAUAGAUGUCUGCAGUCGGUCUGCUUCCAGCAGCUCUGCAGACCAUUGAUAUUAGAGAAAUGCUUCUUUGUGCAUCACUAAUGGAUGAGGCAAAUAGGAGUACCGUGUGUAGGUGCUCUGGAUUUGAUAGAGUUUUAUUGGUCAAACUAAGGAGGCGAAUGGUUGGUUAAUGGUAAUGGUUUAUGGUGGAUAGGCUGGUUACUCAUAGGAAUUUGGAAACAAUAAUGUAGAUUUUAGGUUGAAUUUGUGGGUAUUUGGUGCUGCACAUUACCUGUGAUUUCAUGGGAUGAAUAAUUAAUGUGUCUUUGUUCAAAAAAAUUAUUGACAUGUCUGCCAAAUAAACCUACUCAUCAAUCAAGAAGGUUUCAUGCUGGAAUCUUGUAAAUUUAGAUUAACUAUGUAUCCGGAAAAAAAUCUACAAUUGUUUAAGUAGGCCUCUCGAAUAAGUUAGGCUACAACCCACAAGAACUAGGAAAAGAGGCCUACUUAAACAAUUCUAUGAAAAUCUAUCAGAUCACAAUUAAGGAAACUUGCAGACACUUUCACACCCAGGCUAUGAUCAAUGCAGGUGUGCCAACAGUGGAUCUAGGAUAGACUCUAACAUUGCCGUAGACUUUGGGCGUAGGGCCCAACGCAACCCCACAUAAUCAACUUAAAGGACACUCGAAGCCUAAGCACCACUGGGUCGAUAUCUCUUGGCAUUGUGGGAUACUUGCACCAACUAGUCAUGGAAUCUCUGGGCAUGGAAUAUGACUUGGAUGGUAAUCGGUUAUGUGUUGCACAUUUAGCAAAUCUGAUCCUCAUUAUUUGUAUCCUUUGUAAUUACUUGCAGCAACUAGUCUUGGAAUCUCUGGGCAAGGAAUGUGACUUCUUACACAUGUUAUUGUGUGAAAUGAUUGAAUACCACCACCAUUGCAUGCUCUUUCUUUAAUACCAUACUAAGAAAAACGCGGGUGGUAUUUGAAAGCAGUAUUUAUGGCUUACCUCUCUCUGCUAUGCUACCUGCCUAAUAGGCAGUGUAAAGGCAUGUGCCUCUAGAUCAGGAGGAGGCGAUUCAACUUCUGAACAGCACAGGCAGGCAGGCAACUCAUGACCCUGAUCCACAUCUCGGCUUGACACUCAAGUUUUUGUUGCCUUAUAAAAUUUCAACGGGACUUUAUUCUCUCCCUACAUGGUAAAAAUAUUGCAGUCUCUUCUGCUGAAAUUGUGUUGCGUCUUCUUGGAUGCUCUAUAAAAUCUCUAAUCAGAAUUUGCCAAGCACAUACUUCAGGCUAAGAACUGAAAACAACACCUUCCUGUUGUCCACCUCUCGAUCAUGCUUAAGCCAUUUUGUACAAACUUAAUAUGUCCUAAUAAGUUCCAGCAACAACAGUGACUCAACAUUUCUACUGAAAGUCAUAACAGUGCUACCACUAUCAACAUGAGCUGAAACACAAGAAUCUUCCACGGGCUCCCAGGUUCAAUCAUCUGCUUGCUCUCUUAAAAACUAUGUUUAUAUAAUAAUGAAACUAUGUUUAGUUUGUGGAAUAUAUAAGUUGAAUGUGUAAUAUAUAACAAUGAUAUGAAACAGUGUUUAGAUUGAUGUUGUGUUUUUGCAUUGGCCUUGUGUUAAUUGUAUAUGCAAGGUGAUAAGCUUUGUAGAUAUUAUUAGGUUGCAAUAUUAAGAUAAGUUUUUCUCUACUUCACUCAUGAUUUGAAUAACAAAAUCAUUUAGCAAUAUAAUUAGGCAAUGCAAUGAAGAAGAAUGUGUGUAAAUUUGUAGACAUUACCACAACAAAUAUACCAAGUAUGUUAGGGGUUCACAUCUAUGUAAAGUCAUACAGUAACUGUACCAAACAAUAUCAUAUACAAAGAAUUGUAAUAUCAAAUACACAGAAUGGGAAUGUGUAUAUACAGUAACUGCACCAAACAAAAUCAUAUACAAAAAAUAGACAGAAUGCACGGAAUAGGAAUUUCAAAUACACAGAAUGAGACUGUCAUAUGCACGGAACAGGAAGAAUGCAUCACGAACAAAUAUCCAAAGCAUACCCGCCACCCUUUCAUAAGGGCACUAGAUCCCAGGGAUUCACUCCAUAUUCAGUCCCAUCUUCAUCCCAGCGGAUCUAUACCAAAAACAUAUAAAACACUGAGCAUAAAAAUAAUAACUAGUAUUACAAAUAGAACUUCAAUCAAACAUAGGAAUCAACAAUUUUUUUCUUACUCAACACGUUACCAAGAAAAAACAAUAUACCUUGUAC